AAUGAACGUUGGCGGCGUGGAUUAGGCAUGCAAGUCGCGCGACAAGGAACCUUCGGGUUCUGGAGGAGCGGCAAACGGGGUAGUAAGGCAUCGGAACGUACCCUCUUGUUGGGAAUAGCCGCGGGAAAUUGCGAGUAAUGCCCAAUAAUCCCUACGGGGCAAAGGUCCGCCGCAGGAGGAGCGGCCGAUGUGAUACCAGCUAGUUGGUGAGGUAAUGGCUCACCAAGGCUUAGACGUCUAGGGGGUGUGAGAGCAUGGCCCCCACCACUGGGACGUNAGAUACUGCCACGANACCUACGGUGGGCUGCAGUCGAGAAU
rnacentral:rRNA from 1 species